rnacentral:rRNA from 1 species
GACGAACGCUGGCGGCGUGCUUAACACAUGCAAGUCGAACGGUGAAGGGGUCUGCUUUUGUGGGCCCUGGAUGAGUGGCGAACUGGUGAGUAACACGUUAGUAACCUGCCCCCUUCUUCUGUAUAACCGCAUGAAAGUGUGGCUAAUACGGGAUAUUCUGGGUCUGUCGCAUGAUGGGUCUGGGAAAGAUUGCGCCUUUGGGUGUUUUUGGUGGGGGAUGGGGUCGCGGCCUAUCAGCUUGUUGGUGGGGUGAUGGCCUACCAAGGCGGUGACGGGUAGCCGGGAUGAGGGGGUGGACGGUCACAAUGGGACUGAGACACUGCCCAGAAUGCUACGGGAGGGAGCAGUGGGGAAUAUAACGCGAUGGGCGCAAGCCGGAUGCAGCGACGCCGGGGGAGAGAUGGAGGCGUUCGGGUUGUAAACCUCUUACGGAAGUGAAGGAGGUGUGGUAAUUGUGAGUGGGUGGACGGUAGAUGGAUAAGAAGCGCCGGCUAACUACGUG